rnacentral:tRNA from 1 species
GCCUUCGUGGUGUAGUGGUCAGCACGCUCGGCGCGUAUUCGAGAGGUCCGUGGUUCGAAUCCCGGCUAGGGCA